ensembl:ncRNA F54E4.12 ncRNA
UCUCUUCACUUUGCAUAAAAUAUAGAGUGAAGUGAAGCCGAGAAAUUUGAUAAUGCUAAGCACUUGUAUAGUGGCAACUCUUGCCGAUCGCAUUUUGAGCGGAAAUCGCAGGAAUAAAU